GUUUGGUCCACAGCAUAGAGCAUAGAUCAUUUGCCUAAAUCCCGUCAGAAUCACACCUCUCGCGAUAAGCAACUCACAUUCACGCCGUCCGUCCAACGAUGGUAGAAGGAACAGAAGGGAUUGGUUUGAAGGGAAGAUGUCUCAGAACGCAACAGCUAGGACCUCAUCACUCAUGGCCCUCCAUUCAGAUUCACAUAAGCAGAGCAUCCUGAGCAAAUUCGACAAGCUCAGGAAAAGAGACCUACUGUGCGACAUCACUCUUGUUGUGGAAGACGUGCACUUCAAGGCGCACAAAGCCCUGCUGGCAGCAAGCAGCGAGUACUUCUCCCUCAUGUUCAUGGCAGAAGAUCAGAUCAGUCAGUCGACCUACCGGCUGGAUGGCAUGGCAGCUGCGAUGUUUGCAGCAGUGUUGGAGUUCAUCUACAGCGCCCAGGUGUCUGUAGAGGAGAGCGCCACUGAGCAGCUUCUGGCCACGGCUCAUGUUAUGGAGGUAAACGAUCUUGUCAAGGUGCUCAAUGAACUCACACACUCUGCUGCAGUGGUUAGAGGCGAGGAGGUAAAGGCUGACAUAACCCAGGUGCCAGAUCAGCCGAAACGCAAAAGAGGACGGCCAAAGAAAAAAGAACUUGAAACAGAGUUGGAGGGGACAAGUGCACCAUGUGAUAGCUCAGAGGGGGGACUGGUUGGAGAUACGGACUGUGAUGAUGCAGUAACUGAGUCACAAGCUAAAGACAAUGCAGAUUACAAGCCAGAAGCCCACCACAGCCGGCAGAGCAAACGCAAAAUCAGGCCACCGGUGAAAUACAAGAGCUACAAGGUGGUCAGCGACACAGCAGUAAGCAAAGAGCCUGGGAAGAAAGGCAGGAAAAGGAAAUACCCCAACACUGAGGCCCACUGUGAGGACUGUGGCAAAGUAUUCAAAAAUCACCUCUUUUUAAAGAUUCACCAGAGGACUCAUACAGGAGAGAAGCCUUUUCAGUGCCUGGUUUGUGGAAAGGGUUUUACCCAGAAGCAUACUUUGCUGGUUCACCAGCGCAUGCACACUGGAGAAAAGCCAUUUGUCUGCAUCGUCUGCUCCAAAGCGCUCUCCACCAAACACUCCCUACAAGAGCACAUGAACCUCCAUAAAGAAGACAAAUCCUUCAGCUGUGAUAAAUGUGGAAAGACGUUCACUCAGAAGAGGCAGCUUCAUAGCCAUUACAGAGUUCAUACAGGCAAAUCAUUACCAGAAUGUGCUAAGUGUCAUCACAAGUUUAUGGACACAGCUCAGCUGAAAAAGCACCUGAGAACUCACACAGGUGAGAAGCCUUUUACUUGUGAGAUUUGUGGAAAGUGUUUUUCAGCCAAAAGCACUCUGCAGACUCAUAUCAGAAUUCACAGAGGGGAGAAGCCAUAUGACUGCAGCAUCUGCAACAAAUCCUUCUCGGACCCUAGCGCGAGACGGCGACACGUCGCCUCUCACUCAGGGAAGAAACCCUUCACAUGCUCCUCCUGUGGCCUGUCGUUUACCCGCCUGGACAAUCUGAACACACACACCAAAUCUCACAACAAGGAGAGAGCUGCGACAACAAAAGCCACAGCAGAUGCUCUCCACGCCGCAGAGCCACCGGAGGAGGAGGUACACAACAUCCUGCAGCUGCAGCCGUACCAGCUGCCCUCCACCUCUGAACAGGAGCUCCAGCUGGUGGUGACGGGAGACGUGGACAACAUUAACUUUGCACCGGGGCAGAACCAGGAGAUCAGCAUCAUCACCACUGAGGGGGAGGCAGCAGAAUCGUCCCACUCCAGACUCACCCUCCUCACCCAGUCGCCAGGAAACGUGCAGAAUGUGGCUUUGGUGACUCAGGGUGGCGUGGUGGACCAGAGCCCUCAGAUUCAGACUAUCAGUUUGCUGCAGGGCCAGAUGAGCCACCAGCCGGAGCAGAUGCACGUCCUCACUCUCAGUAAAGAGGCGAUGGAGCAGCUACAGGCCCCGCACACCCUUCAGAUAGCACAACGGGCGGUCCAGCAGCUGCAGGUGAUGCACCAGCCCAUCCAGCAGCUCGCUGUGGGACAGGUGGGCAGGGAGCACACACACAGCCAGGCAAUUCACAUCAGCAGCCAGAGCAGCCAGCCCAUCUCCAUCAGCCAGACCAGCGAGCAGAUCUCCAGCCACCACAUCCAGGGACAGACGUUCCAGAUCCAGGCAGGGACCGUCUCCUACCUGUACACCACCGGGCUGCCGCAGGAGAGCUGAGGGUGGGUCGGGGGACUGAAGCUACCACAUCCACGCUGAUAAUGCUGCUAUGUCACUGUUCCUGUUUGGGCAGCAGUGAGGUGUAGAUGUGACUUGCUGUACCUUCAUGCGGAGCAGCUUCCUGGCGCUGCUGCUCUCGGCCUGGCAGCAGGUCAACACCUUCCUGGCGGCCUCCAGCUCCUCCUGCAGGAAAACCACCUCCUCCUCUGAUGUCAUCUUCACUCGGAGGGCCGCGCUGCGACAGCUGACCUCCCUCUGGGCACAAUGGAAAAUGUUAUAAUAACCAUUACCACAAUCAAUAUGUUUCAGCAAUGUUUUAUGAUGACUGAUGAGUCAAAAGUAUAAUUUAGUACACAAAUACACGAAUCAGUAAGUUGAAUAAUGAAAUGUAAAAAAAGAUCUAUAAGCAACAAGCUUAAAAUGUGAUUUACAUAAUUGGCUAAAGUGUUAUGACUGACUUCCUAACUGAUUGCAAAAGUUAAGGGGGAAACAUAAAGCUUGUUUUAAUCAAUCAGAAUAUCUAACUAUUACUUAUAUGUACGUAUAUGUAUUCAAUUAUGCUUUGGACAAAUCAGAUAUUACAAAACAAAACGGGUCAAAACUAACUCGAUACGAACGUGUAGUGAAAAUAAAGGACACAACACAGACA